CCUACGGGAGGCAGCAGUGAGGAAUAUUGGUCAAUGGUCGGGAGACUGAACCAGCCAAGCCGCGUGAGGGAGGAAGGUACAGAGUAUCGUAAACCUCUUUUGUCAGGGAACAAAGGCUGGGACGUGUCCCCGGAUGAGUGUACCUGAAGAAAAAGCAUCGGCUAACUCCGUGCCAGCAGCCGCGGUAAUACGGAGGAUGCGAGCGUUAUCCGGAUUUAUUGGGUUUAAAGGGUGCGCAGGCGGUCUGUUAAGUUAGCGGUCAAAGCCCGGGGCUCAACCCCGGCACGCCGUUGAAACUGGCAGUCGCGAGUUGGAGAGAGGUAUGCGGAAUGCGCGGUGUAGCGGUGAAAUGCAUAGAUAUCGCGCAGAACUCCGAUUGCGAAGGCAGCAUGCCGGCUCCACACUGACGCUGAGGCACGAAAGCGUGGGUAUCGAACAGGAUUAGAUACCCUUGUAGUC
rnacentral:rRNA from 1 species